UCCAGACUCCUACGGGAGGCAGCAGUGGGGAAUAUUGCACAAUGGGGGGAACCCUGAUGCAGCGACGCCGCGUGGGCGAGGAAGUAUUUCGGUAUGUAAAGCCCUAUCGGCAGGGAAGAAGAAAUGACGGUACCUGAAUAAGAAGCACCGGCUAAAUACGUGCCAGCAGCCGCGGUAAUACGUAUGGUGCAAGCGUUAUCCGGAUUUACUGGGUGUAAAGGGAGCGCAGGCGGCCUUGCAAGUCUGAUGUGAAAGGCCGGGGCCCAACCCCGGGACUGCAUUGGAAACUGCGAGGCUGGAGUGUCGGAGAGGGAGGCGGAAUUCCUAGUGUAGCGGUGAAAUGCGUAGAUAUUAGGAGGAACACCAGUGGCGAAGGCGGCCUACUGGACGGUGACUGACGCUGAGGCUCGAAAGCGUGGGGAGCAAACAGGAUUAGAUACCCGCGUACCC
rnacentral:rRNA from 1 species